rnacentral:tRNA from 1 species
GGGCCCAUAGCUCAGCUGGUUAGAGCACCUGACUCAUAAUCAGGGAGUCCUAGGUUCAAAUCCUAGUGGGCCCA